rnacentral:lncRNA from 1 species
GCUGGAAUACUAUUAAUAGUAAAACGCUCUUUUUGCUAUCAAGUUUUUAACCCUUGGAUGAAAAACUGUAGGGUCAGGAUGAUAUUAGUCAGUUAGAGUUGAAUGGUCCCCCUAGGGUUGAGUGGUCUCCACUGGAUUAUAGUAUUUAAUCCAAUGGUUAGAAAUAAUGAAAAGAGUUGAUCCAAAGGCUAAAAAACUGAUAGCAAUAAUGAGAUUUUGCUACUAAUAGUAGUCCAGUCCAACUCUAUAUAUAUAUAUAUAUAUAUAUAUAUAUAUAUAUAGAAUUAGGCUGGAAUACUAUUAAUAGUAAAACGCUCUUUUUGCUAUCAAGUUUUUAACCCUUGGAUGAAAAAUUAUAGGGUCAGGAUGAUAUUAGUCGGUUAGAGUUGAGUGGUCCCCUUAGGGUUGAAUGGUCUCUACUGGGUUAUAGUAUUUAAUCCAAUGGUUAGAAAUAAUGAAAAGAGUUGAUCCAAAGGCUAAAAAACUGAUAGCAACAAUGAGAUUUUACUACUAAUAGUAGCCCAGUUCAACUCUAUAUAUAUAUAUAUAUAUAUAUAUAUAUAUAUAUAUAUAUAUAU